UACAGAGGUGGCAAGCGUUGUUCGGAAUUACUGGGCGUAAAGGGCGCGUAGGCGGCCAUCUAAGUCAGACGUGAAAUCCCCCGGCUUAACCUGGGAACUGCGUCUGAUACUGGAAGGCUUGAGUAUGGGAGAGGGAUGUAGAAUUCCAGGUGUAGCGGUGAAAUGCGUAGAUAUCUGGAAGAAUACCGGUGGCGAAGGCGGCAUCCUGGACCAUUACUGACGCUGAGGCGCGAAAGCUAGGGGAGCAAACGGG
rnacentral:rRNA from 1 species